rfam:Gossypium hirsutum cultivar TM-1 chromosome 15, whole genome shotgun sequence
AAUUCAUGGUGAGGGUACCGUCUCAGUAAAUCCUUAUAGCUCUCCCAUGCAUCAUAUAGGGUAUCUAAGUCGAUCUGAAUGAAUGAAGACAUAUCAUUCUUUAACUU